UACGGAGGAUGCGAGCGUUAUCCGGAUUUAUUGGGUUUAAAGGGUGCGUAGGCGGCGAGUUAAGUCAGCGGUAAAAGCCCGGGGCUCAACCCCGGCCCGCCGUUGAAACUGGCUGGCUUGAGUUGGGGAAAGGCAGGCGGAAUGCGCGGUGUAGCGGUGAAAUGCAUAGAUAUCGCGCAGAACCCCGAUCGCGAAGGCAGCCUGCCGGCCCCAAACUGACGCUGAGGCACGAAAGCAUGGGUAUCGAACAGG
rnacentral:rRNA from 1 species